GGAUUUACCAUCUAUAAACCCCUGUUUUGUGUGUUUGGGUGAAGAAACGCAUUUCUGAAACGCAGCAUGAUGAAGAUGUUGAAAAGAGACCAGCCCUGUGGAACAACAUAGAGAAGUUGUAAUUAUAUGCUUAAUUGUCUGCCUCUCUGAGAAUCUUAUCAAGCACCAUCAGAUACUCAUGGGAAUAAGGAGGAACUGGAACUGCUCACACUUCACAAUCAUCACGAAAGGUGGCUCAACAGAUUAUCCAUUACACAGACUGGGAAAGUGCUGGAAGGCAUAGAAGUGAUGACGGGAUUGGCAGGUGUUGCAAAAUCUUGUGUUUUUCUGCUUGGCCUAAUUUAUGUAAUUAAAAUGAGU